CUACGGGGUGCUCCAGUGGGGAAUAUUGGACAAUGGGGGAAACCCUGAUCCAGCAAUGCCGCGUGUGUGAAGAAGGCCUGCGGGUUGUAAAGCACUUUCGGUUGGGAGGACUGCUUCUAGCACUAAUAUUGUUGGAAGUUGACGUUACCUUCAGAAGAAGCACCGGCUAACUCCGUGCCAGCAGCCGCGGCAAUACGGAGGGUGCAAGCGUUAAUCGGAAUUACUGGGCGUAAAGCGCGCGUAGGCGGCUAGAUCAGUCGGGUGUGAAAGCCCCGGGCUUAACCUGGGAACUGCAUCCGAUACUGUCUAGCUUGAGUACAGGAGAGGAGAGUGGAAUUCCACAUGUAGCGGUGAAAUGCGUAGAUAUGUGGAGGAACACCAAUGGCGAAGGCAGCUCUCUGGCCUGAUACUGACGCUGAGGUGCGAAAGCGUGGGGAGCAAACAGGAUUAGAUACCCUCGUAGUC
rnacentral:rRNA from 1 species